GGGGAAUUAGCUCAGCUGGGAGAGCACCUGCUUUGCAAGCAGGAGGUCAGCGGUUCGAUUCCGCUAUUCUCCA
rnacentral:tRNA from 1 species